rnacentral:rRNA from 1 species
ACUACGGUGCUGAAGCAACAAAUGCCCUGCUUCCAGGAAAAGCCUCUAAGCAUCAGGUAACACGAAAUCGUACCCCAAACCGACACAGGUGGUCAGGUAGAGAAUACCAAGGCGCUUGAGAGAACUCGGGUGAAGGAACUAGGCAAAAUGGUGCCGUAACUUCGGGAGAAGGCACGCUGACACGUAGGUGAAGUGAUUUACUCAUGGAGCUGAAGUCAGUCGAAGAUACCAGCUGGCUGCAACUGUUUAUUAAAAACACAGCACUGUGCAAACACGAAAGUGGACGUAUACGGUGUGACGCCUGCCCGGUGCCGGAAGGUUAAUUGAUGGGGUCAGCGUAAGCGAAGCUCCUGAUCGAAGCCCCGGUAAACGGCGGCCGUAACUAUAACGGUCCUAAGGUAGCGAAAUUCCUUGUCGGGUAAGUUCCGACCUGCACGAAUGGCGUAAUGAUGGCCAGGCUGUCUCCACCCGAGACUCAGUGAAAUUGAACUCGCUGUGAAGAUGCAGUGUACCCGCGGCAAGACGGAAAGACCCCGUGAACCUUUACUAUAGCUUGACACUGAACAUUGAGCCUUGAUGUGUAGGAUAGGUGGGAGGCUUUGAAGUGUGGACGCCAGUCUGCAUGGAGCCGACCUUGAAAUACCACCCUUUAAUGUUUGAUGUUCUAACGUGGACCCGUAAUCCGGGUUGCGGACAGUGUCUGGUGGGUAGUUUGACUGGGGCGGUCUCCUCCUAAAGAGUAACGGAGGAGCACGAAGGUUGGCUAAUCCUGGUCGGACAUCAGGAGGUUAGUGCAAUGGCAUAAGCCAGCUUGACUGCGAGCGUGACGGCGCGAGCAGGUGCGAAAGCAGGUCAUAGUGAUCCGGUGGUUCUGAAUGGAAGGGCCAUCGCUCAACGGAUAAAAGGUACUCCGGGGAUAACAGGCUGAUACCGCCCAAGAGUUCAUAUCGACGGCGGUGUUUGGCACCUCGAUGUCGGCUCAUCACAUCCUGGGGCUGAAGUAGGUCCCAAGGGUAUGGCUGUUCGCCAUUUAAAGUGGUACGCGAGCUGGGUUUAGAACGUCGUGAGACAGUUCGGUCCCUAUCUGCCGUGGGCGCUGGAGAACUGAGGGGGGCUGCUCCUAGUACGAGAGGACCGGAGUGGACGCAUCACUGGUGUUCGGGUUGUCAUGCCAAUGGCACUGCCCGGUAGCUAAAUGCGGAAGAGAUAAGUGCUGAAAGCAUCUAAGCACGAAACUUGCCCCGAG